rnacentral:lncRNA from 1 species
AAACCCUGACGCUUUCGGUGGUUCCCGCUGAUGUAGGAAAGCCAACGGUGAGAUUAGAGAAAGCUCCGAUUAUCGAAGGGAACUGCUACUGGGAACAUCCUAUUUAUGAGACUGUAAAACUAGUCAGGGAGCCGAAAAUGGAAAGAUAUAAAGAGAAAAUCUUCCAUUUCAUUGUGUCAACUGUAAGUGAUAAACCUUCUCGUAUAGAAUUCUUUAGACUUGUUAAAUAAUAACUGGAGAAAGACUCUGUUUUAGUUUUACUUGUAGCUAGCUCAAAUUAAAGUUAUUUACUUAUUUUAAUUUUCACAGAGAUCAUCAAAAUCAGGUGUUCUGGGAGAAAACUCGAUUGACCUUGCAGAUCUAGUUGAGGCUACUAAACCAUUGACAUUAUCUCUGCCUCUACAGACUUCAAACACUGGUGCAAUUUUGCAUGUUAGUACUUCUCUCUUUUUCUCUCUUGCACGCAAGCGCACAAAGAACAAAGCUGGCAUAUACCUGAAUGAAUUUUGCUAGUUGUACAACCAAGGGUUAACAACCCUGGUUGACAACCUCCUCGCAGGAUGGGGCCCAUGAUUUUUUUCAUAGACACCCUCCCACGUAUGUGGGUCUCAACUCCGAUUGUACAUGUAGCAUGACCAUGACCAUAACUAGCAACUUCUUGUUUUUUUUUUAGCAAUUAUAAGGUUUCGGCAUAUAGAGUUUGCACAUAAAUUGCAGUGCAUCCUAAAACUUCUAUAAAAAUAACAGGUCACAAUUCAGAAGAUGCAAGGAGAUCUUGAUUCAAGGUGAUGACGAAGAUUUUCAGCAACGAUCAUGUUCUUUUGUCCAUUAUAAUGAUUCACCUUUACAAGCUGAGUUAAUUCUUCUUGGAAAAUUUCAGAUGUACUGACGAAAGUGAAGCACUGGUGGAAGAUUUUGACAGCUAUGGGAAAAGAAAUCUACGAUCUCCUGAAGUAAGGUCUCAAAUACCUCCCCUUUUAUAAUUGAUGAAAUAACAGAGUAAAAAAUGGGAGCAUUAGAGAUCCUAGAGUUGUUAGAAACCUCAAGAAAGGCAUUAAGAUAUUUAUAUUGACUUCAUUAAUCAAAACUAAUGCUUAUUAUUUUCCAAAGUGAGCACUUCAGAAACUAACACCUCGUAACAAUGAACAGAAUGGAAGCUUUGGAGAUACUGGAUCAGAUAAUAAUGGUGUAUAUCAAAGAUCCCACACAGAUAUGUCAUUAGAUUGUGCUUCAGAUCGUAGUAUAAUUGAUAAAACAAACAGCUUUGACGAAACCAGUUCAAGAGAUGGGGUAGACGAAAAUUCCAUUGAUAUUAUUAGGAAGUUGAAAAAUCAAGUAACAAUGUUAGAAAGGAGGGCAGAAGUUUCAGAAUUGGAAGUACAAUCCCUUAAGAAGCAGGCUAUAAAGGAAAGCAAGAAGGGACAAGAACUAGUAAAGCAGAUUGAUUGCCUUAAGGAGGAGAGGGAUGCAAUUAUAACCCAAUGUGAACAACUCAAGUCCUUACAAAAAGGUAAUAAUGAUGAUGUAGUUUCAAGUGUUACAAAGAAAGAGACUGAAAAUUUGAGGACUUCACUUGAAGAUAUCAAGCAAGAACUUAGAAGUGAGAAGCAAUCUAAUAAAAAGUUGAAGCAGCAGCUGCAGAAGACAGAAGACUCGAACUCUGAACUUGUUCUAGCAUUAAGAGACCUUGAAAGAAUGUUGGAUAAAAAAAACACGGAAAUAUCUCAACUUUCUAGCAAAAUAAAGGCAAAUCACAAUGGCGAUGAGGCUCUUGCAAUAUCAUCCAAGAUAAAGAAAGAUUGGGAUCAAGAGAAGAAAGCAAAGGAUGACCAAAUAAACAAGCAAAGAAAUGCUGAUGAAGCAGAAAUGUUGAAACAAGAAAUUAAAAACCUCUAUUGCGAAAUAGAAGCCUGCAGGGAAGAAAAAGAAGAAGUUCAGAUGCAAAUGGAAAAGCUUACUCAGGAUUAUAAGAGUUUAGAAAAGGAAAACGAGGAUGUCUACUACAAUUUAGAGCAAUCCCAGAAAGGAAAAAUGGAAAUACAACAAAAUUAUUCAGAGUCCUUGGUCAAUGUAAAGCAGCUAAAACUCCAGGUAGAAAACUUGAAGGAAGAAGUCAAAAGGAAGGGACUACGACAUUCAGAAGCUUUGAAUAAAAUCAAUGAGCUUGAAACCCAGGUUAUGACCUUGCAGAAAGAACUGGAAAAGCAGGCACAUGGUUUUGAAGAUGAACUAGUAGUAGUAACUCAAGCCAAAGUUGAGCAGGAGCAAAGAGCCAUACAAGCUGAGGAGGAAUUAAGGAAGACAAGGUGGAAGAAUGCUGCAUCCACAGAGCACCUUCAGGAGGAAUUCAAACAGCUUUCCGUUGAAAUGGCAUUUAGGAUUGAUGAGAAUGAGCAACUUGCUAAUAAUGCAGUAGCAGAAGCUAAUGAUUUGCGGCAGCAAAAUAAAGUUUUAGAAGAAUUGCUCCAGAAAGCUGAGGAAGAACUUGUAAUGUCAAAAGAUCAAUAUGAAAGAAAAUUUCACGAGCUUCUGAACGAAAAUUCUGUAGGAGCAAAAGAAGCAUGUACUAGUGAAUCGGAGAUGCUACAGAAAUUGGUAGAAGAAAAGGAAGAUCUAGAGAGGGAACUCGCUUCAGUGAGAAAGGAAGCAGAAAAGCUGUCGAAGGAAUCAAUUUCCAUGCGGUCUCAAAUAGUUCAAAAGAAGAAAAUAGAUGAGAACUUGCAUUUAGAAUUGGAAAAGCUAAAACUUCAAUACAAUGAAAUGGAACAUCGUUCGAUUCAAUUAGAACUGGAGAAUGAAAGCAUGAAGAAAGAGAUGUCCAAAUUACAGGGCACCUUACAUAAGAAGGAACAGGUAAUUCCUAGCACAAAUAAAGAUGUUUCUCAUUAUAUAGGUGGAUUACAGAAGGUGCACAGAAUUUGCAGCUAAAAUAAUUGGUAGAAAGAUAAAAAUAUCUUAAAACCUGAGGGCUGACUCCAAAACACUGCCAAUUGCAUUUGUUACUCUGUUACUAACAUCAAGUGUUGACAAACUAAAUCAAACUGUUUAAAGCAGACUUAAUUCUUGAAAUUAGAAUUGUCUGAAAAUAAGAAAGAGACACCUUUUUUCACAAAUGGAAUUGAAAGUGUAUUUAAUUCUUGAAAUUAGAAUUGUCUGAAAAUAAUAAAGAGACAACUUUUUUUCACAAAUGGAAUUGAAAGUGUGUCUCCUUAGAUUGACCAUAAAAUGAACAAUAUCUCUUUGCAAUUCAACAAGAUUCAGCCUCACCAAAAACUAAUGCACACUGCUUUGUUUAAGCUUCCCAAAACUAUUUCAGCUACAUUAUGCAAACAAUCUUAUUCAAAUAAAUAUUUGAUGACAGGAGUCUACACCAACUAAGCAUAUGAAUCACAGUGCUCUUGAAGGAAGAAAAAACAUGGGAGGAAAUUUAGGUUCUGCAGCAAUGAGAACAGUGGAGGGCCUUCCUACAUUGAAUGGAUUUGACACAGCUCAAAUUAUAAGGUACAAAAACAGUUAACUAUUAUGUUUUCACUUCUUCUUUGAAAAAAAAUUCUUCCACAUGCAUUUAUGCACGCUGCGUUACUUGUUCAGUGGAGAAAUGAACCAAAGAACAAUGCUGAAAGUGAAUGGUGACCAUGCCGGUGAUAGUUGUGAUGUUUCCAGCUUAUUAAAUGUAGUAGAGUCACUGAAGGAAAGAAACAAAAACAUGGAAGACGAACUGAAAGAACUGCAAGAGAGAUAUUCAGAAAUAAGCCUCCGAUUUGCAGAGGUAGAAGGUGAAAGGCAGCAACUUGUCAUGACCGUACGGUGUCUGAAGAAUGGAAAGAAAAACUAGCCACUCUGGACAAUGCUAAAGGCCUGGAAAACUUUAGAGGUUCAAUAAAUGAAACAGCUAAGAAUAUUGCGAAGAAACUGGAGAUUUGCCCUGGCAAACAUCAAACAUACAUCUACAGUUCAUUUUUUACGAAGCCCUAUAACAUUUAUAUAAUUCAUUUUCCUCUAAUUCAAUGUCUUAAAGCAGUAAAGUUCAGUUAUUUGCAUCAAAUGGAUAACAGCAUUCCUAUGUUAUGUUUGGCAUCACGAUUGACUCCAGGAAACAUAGUAAAUAAACCCCAGCAAACUUCUUAACUUCAAUUUUGUAGCUGGAGAGCUAAAUAGUUGUUUGGGCUAUUAUAGGGAAAGAAGCUGAAGAGAGAGAAAGGAAGGAAGGCUAUUCGAGUUUUGNAAAAGAUAAAUUACUGUCUUCGGAGAAUAUGAAAGUAAUAUCUGAAAGUUUGCAAUCAAAAUAAUAUAACAUUUCCAUAGGCUUGACCUAAUAUUUCAUUAGAACAAUACAGCAUUCUGUUCCUAGAAUUGAUAUCACAGAUAACGUGAGAGAGUGCAUUGGACAAUAUCUUGGAGUGAUCGUCAUGGAUCGGAGUGAAAAAGUUAUCGGAGAAUGAGGGAUUAUUUGAUGGAUGACGGUAAACAAUUCUAGGGUUUGGUUGCUGAUCCGGCGGUAGGGAGGAUGCCAGUGUACAUUGCAAUUUGCAGUAAACGAUAUGCUGUGAGAAUGAAAAAAUGUUGAAUUUUGAAAGUUUGUAACGAGUUCGUUUGCAUUUAUGAUUUGUUGAUUUGGCGCUAUUGGGGAAUGGUUUUCCAGUUUCUAUACAGUUGUCGUUCCACAAUUCUGUACAUUGUGUGAAUUAUUGAACAAAAAGGAACUCCAUUUUCUUUCUUUCUUGUUACGCAACUGUGCAUUCUAUCUAAUCGCUAAGCUCCCC